rnacentral:lncRNA from 1 species
GUCGAUUGAGCCUUCUUAUCCCAGCUUCCUUGAACUUUUGGUUGUGAGUGGCAAAGACCUAAAGUCAGGUACAUUUCCUUAACUGUCCCCUAAAGUAUUGGUCCUUAAUUCCUGUGAACAACUGUAAUAAGCUGCUUUUUGAAGGUCAUUUACACCUGCAUUGCUAAGGUAUUCAGUGCCAUAAAAAGAUUUGACAAAGCACUACUCAUCUGGGCAGAAUUUUAAGCAUGACAUUAACUGUGUUUAACUCUGCUUGGUAUCAGUGGGGCUCACAAUGAGUUCUGAAUGUUUCACUGAAUAAGGAUGGAUUCAAGCAGGUGCAUAUUGUUAAGCAGGCACAUAAGUACCUAAGAGAGAUAAAUGGAGAGAGUUACAGAGCAGCUGGUAUCUCUGCUGUCCUAUCAACGCGAUUCCAUUUGGUGAGCAGAGUGAUGCAUUGAUGCCUUUUGAUGGAUUUCCUCGUGUGGAUGUGUCCUCUCUUUGGUGCAGGCUAUGUUACGGUCAUGAAAUGUGGUCUAAUAGAAGGAUCAUCAAGAGUGCUUCAAGCAAAAUGUGUUAAAUCACAAUACACAGUUACUAUUAUAACUCCAAUUGAUAAUCUGCUGUGCCUGCAAGAACUUUGCCAAGCUGGGAGCACAAAGCAGAACUCCUCAUGCCAAGACCUGAACUGUCCCCAAAGGACCAUACAGAGCUAUGGCCUUGGCUCCUGGAGAACCACAGCAGCUCCAAGAUCCUGGGAGACUUGGAUGGAGCUGCCUGGCCCAUUGGACCAUUCAUUUGAUGCAAGAGGUGGAAAGUCUCAGAUUUAUGUCACAGGAGCAAUAUUUCUUACAUUAGCUAUUUAUGGAUUUACACAUCUUUGCAUUUUCUUAACAGUAAAUAAAAUAAAUAGCAGGCACUGAAGGCCUGGCUGCGUGACAAGAACCUUUGUAGGAUGCAGAACAAGGACAAAAUUAAAAGCAGAGAGAGUAAAUAAAUCUUUGGGCAGGACUUCUGCCA